AAUCAACGCUGGCGGCGUGCCUCAGACAUGCAAGUCGAACGCGAAAUUUCCCUUCGGGGAGAGAGUAGAGUGGCGCACGGGUGAGUAACACGUAGGUAAUUUGCCUUUGGGUGGGGAAUAACUCAGGGAAACUUGAGCUAAUACCGCAUAAUGCAGCGGCUCGACAUCGAGACAGUUGUUAAAGCGGGGGAUCGCAAGACCUCGCGCCUAAAGAGAAGCCUGCGGCAGAUUAGCUAGUUGGUAGGGUAAUGGCCUACCAAGGCAACGAUCUGUAACCGGCCUGAGAGGGCGGUCGGUCACACUGACACUGACAUACGGGUCAGACUCCUACGGGAGGCAGCAGUCGGGAAUUUUGGGCAAUGGGCGAAAGCCUGACCCAGCAACGCCGCGUGAAGGAU
rnacentral:rRNA from 1 species